GAAACUAAUUCAGAGGUGACGAAGAAGAAGAAGAAGAUGAGCUGAACGGAUAAGGCA
rnacentral:sRNA from 1 species